UGUUACUUCUAUUAAUAUAUCUCGGAUUAAUAAUACUUUAGAAAUUUAACGGAUUUGGCGGCAAGAUAGCCCAUUUAGAGGAACCUGCCCUAUAAAUGAUGAUCCACGAAUUACUUCACUCUCCCUAGUAAUCAGUUUGUAUACCGCUGUUGUCAGUCAGUUUCUUUAGAAAACUUUCAGUAAUGAUAAUUUCAUUGACUUCAAGUAAAGGUGCAGCUUAUGGGAAAGAAAGAGGUGGGUUACAAUUUUUAGAUAAAAACGGAUAGUAAUAUGAAAAAUUACUUGAAGGUGGAUUUAAUUGUAAGAUUUAUACUAGUCUGAUAUGAGCACUAACUUGUG
rnacentral:rRNA from 1 species